rnacentral:rRNA from 1 species
GAUGAACGCUGGCGGCGUGCCUAAUACAUGCAAGUCGAGCGAACGGACGAGAAGCUUGCUUCUCUGAUGUUAGCGGCGGACGGGUGAGUAACACGUGGAUAACCUACCUAUAAGACUGGGAUAACUUCGGGAAACCGGAGCUAAUACCGGAUAAUAUUUUGAACCGCAUGGUUCAAAAGUGAAAGACGGUCUUGCUGUCACUUAUAGAUGGAUCCGCGCUGCAUUAGCUAGUUGGUAAGGUAACGGCUUACCAAGGCAACGAUGCAUAGUCGACCUGAGAGGGUGAUCGGCCACACUGGAACUGAGACACGGUCCAGACUCCUACGGGAGGCAGCAGUAGGGAAUCUUCCGCAAUGGGCGAAAGCCUGACGGAGCAACGCCGCGUGAGUGAUGAAGGUCUUCGGAUCGUAAAACUCUGUUAUUAGGGAAGAACAUAUGUGUAAGUAGCUGUGCACAUCUUGACGGUACCUAAUCAGAAAGCCACGGCUAACUACGUG